UUAAGGCAGAUCCAUUGUCUGAAAUCACCUCAACCAAACCCCAGCUGGAAUGUUACACCUCUAUUAGUUGAACUACACACUCAGUCACAGUGAACGGGACGUUUUAGUCUAAAUGCUGGCAAACAGAUUGCUGGACGGCUGGCAGAAUGGCUAAUACCAGUAGCAAGGAAACAUCCACUGAGCAGCAGCAAGAUCCCUUGUGAGUUUUAAAUAUUCUGGGAAAUAAAAAACUAAUUCUGUACACCCUAUAUUAAGCAGCUUCACAUCUGUCCUGACAAAUAUGACCGCCUUUGGGGAAAGAAAUGAAGAUUAUAGUUCGAAGCCACCUGAACUCACCUGGACAUUCCGGUUGAGGCUGACAGCAGGCAUGAAGACACCCUCCAGGUUCUCAAAGGCCACAGGCCCGUGCUGCUCUUUGUUAAUGUAAAAGGGGCAAAUAGCAACACAACCUCAGGGUCGUUGCUCACCUGUUGGUGUGUGAGUUGUUGUGCAUGAACCAGGAGCGGUUGUUGUCCACAUACAUGGCCCAGGCCUUGUCGUCCUUGCCGAGCAUCAUGUCCUUCACGGUGUUGAUCCGGGCCACGCCGAACGCCGGAUCCGGGUGGUUGUCGUAGCGGUCGAUGCAGAGCUCCCAGUAGUGCACGCCCUUGGAGAAGGCGGCCGUUCCGAGCACCACGCGGUCGUCGUAGCUGUUGCAGCUCACCGUCUGGUUGUCGUUGGUCAGCACGAUGUCCCGGUGCGCCGACGUUGGAUCAAAUGUGAACCACGCCACUGCAGGCAGACGGAAAACAGACAGCAGUGAGACUAGCCUGGUUAGCACCAGACGUUAUAUCAACUGAAAUCCAGACUGGGUCUGGACAAGGUUCAUUCACCUCCCAUUUCCAAGGGGCAUCACCAACGGACGCCAAUCAAAAUGCCUCUGGACGCAAUUGGAUAAACCCUAAACCAAUCAGAGCAAUGAAGGAGAGGACAUAUGCAGAGCGACGGGAAAAAAAACAUCUCUACAAAUAAAACAUUUUUCAAAAACAGCUUCAAUGUCAUCAUGUUAAGUCUGCCUUAACAGUUGCGAUUGGUACCUAGGUGUUAGGACCAUUCAAAAUGGGAGUGAAUGGCCUCUUCGAUAGACCUGCAGAGCAAAGUCAGAUUUGCCAAACUGGGCUCAUCUGGUUUCUCCCAGGCCACAGUGAGACCAAAGAUACGUUAAAAAUGCAAGGGCACUCUCUUAGCACCUUGCUGCCGCAUCCUCUCAGCCUGACCUCACGUGUGAACUUGGUGAGCAGGCGAAAAUAGAAGGAAACGAAGCUGAUGGCGUAGUGCGCACCUCGCCAGUCCUGCCUGAUCAGCGAAUGCCACACGCUGCGGUUUGCUAUAGCUGCUGCCACUGCCGAGCGUGAGGUGACACAUUAAAUAUGCAAGUCGCUCGUGAUGAAAUAUUAAAGUUGAUGUGCUCAUUUAAAAGUCAAGCGGCUGGAUUAAUUCUCAUUCAGAUUCGGCAGUGCAUUUU